AUACGUAGGUGACAAGCGUUAUCCGGAUUUACUGGGCGUAAAGGGCGUGUAGGCGGUCUUGCAAGUCAGAAGUGAAAUUCCUGAGCUCAACUCGGGCGCUGCUUCUGAAACUGCAGGACUUGAGUGCUGGAGGGGAUAGCGGAAUUCCUAGUGGAGCGGUAAAAUGCGCAGAUAUUAGGAAGAACACCGGUGGCGAAGGCGGCUAUCUGGACGGUAACUGACGCUGAGGCGUGAAAGCGUGGGGAGCAAACAGGAUUAGUUACCCUGGGAUUCCACGCCGUAAACGAUGAAUACUAGGUGUAGGGGGUAUCGACUCCCUCUGUGCCGCAGGUAACACAAUAAGUAUUCCGCCUGGGGAGUACGGCCUCAAGGUUGAAACUCAAAUGAAUUGGCGGGG
rnacentral:rRNA from 1 species